rnacentral:rRNA from 1 species
CCCUUUCGGGGGUACACGAGUGGCGAACGGGUGAGUAACACGUGAGGAACCUGCCCUUGACUCUGGGAUAACAGUGGGAAACUUCUGCUAAUACCGGAUAUUCAGAUUCUGCCGCAUGGUGGGGUUUGGAAAGCUUUUGUGGUCAAGGAUGGUCUCGCGGCCUAUCAGCUUGUUGGUGAGGUAAUGGCUCACCAAGGCGUCGACGGGUAGCCGGCCUGAGAGGGCGACCGGCCACAUUGGGACUGAGAUACGGCCCAGACUCCUACGGGAGGCAGCAGUGGGGAAUAUUGCACAAUGGGCGGAAGCCUGAUGCAGCAACGCCGCGUGCGGGAUGACGGCCUUCGGGUUGUAAACCGCUUUCAGUAGGGACGAAGCGCAAGUGACGGUACCUACAGAAGAAGCACCGGCUAACUACGUGCCAGCAGCCGCGGUGAUACGUAGGGUGCGAGCGUUGUCCGGAAUUAUUGGGCGUAAAGAGCUUGUAGGCGGUUGGUUGCGUCGUAAGUGAAAACUCAGGGCUUAACCCUGGGCCUGCUUGCGAUACGGGCUGACUUGAGGAAGGUAGGGGAGAAUGGAAUUCCCGGUGGAGCGGUGGAAUGCGCAGAUGUCGGGAGGAACACCAGUGGCGAAGGCGGUUCUCUGGACCUUUCCUGACGCUGAGAAGCGAAAGCGUGGGGAGCAAACAGGCUUAGAUACCCUGGUAGUCCACGCCGUAAACGGUGGGUACUAGGUGUGGGUCACAUUCCACGUGAUCUGUGCCGUAGCUAACGCAUUAAGUACCCCGCCUGGGGAGUACGGCCGCAAGGCUA